UCCUGCAAGCUACCCAUGCAUGUGAUUCUACUGCAACCUGACCCAUUCUCAGCCUCCUUCCAAAACCCAACUCAAGAGAGACCUUCUAUACUGAAAAAAUGAAAUCUCACAGAAUCCAACAGGAGCUCCAAGGGGGAGGCACAUCCAAGCUCCCACAGCUAAAGCCGGCAAAAAGAAUGAGCUUCCCUGCUGCCUUGAAAAUGAUGGAUGUACACAGAGGCUUUGCGCAACUUACAGCCCUAUGAUCCCUCACGCUGUGCCCCGGAGCUCUGCACACAACGAAUUAACCAGAUCAAAUAUGUUUGACUUCUUGAUGAGUGGAAGAUGUUGGGAUUUUUUUCUGUCAAUCCUUAGACCUGAGAGAAAAGUCGAGGUCAUAUCCGGCAGCUCUUGAAGAUGCCUGCCAUUAGAGGAUGCAAGGUUAAGGUUAUGUAAGUGUGCUGGCGAAAUCCAGUUGUUCCAGGAAGCCCAGCUACAGCUGUUCUGCUCCUAACCCUCCUCUGUAAUGGG